rnacentral:rRNA from 1 species
UACGUAGGGGGCAAGCGUUGUCCGGAUUUAUUGGGCGUAAAGAGCGUGUAGGCGGUUAUACAGGUCCGCUGUGAAAACUGGAGGCUUAACCUCCAGACGUCGGUGGAAACCGUAUGACUAGAGUCCGGAAGAGGAGAGUGGAAUUCCUGGUGUAGCGGUGAAAUGCGCAGAUAUCAGGAAGAACACCCGUGGCGUAGGCGGCUCUCUGGGACGGUACUGACGCUGAGACGCGAAAGCGUGGGGAGCGAACAGG